CUACUCACUUUGGCAGCACAUAUGCCAAAAUUGGAAAGAUACAGAGAAGAUUAGCCUGGAUCCAGGGCAAGAAUGACAUGCAAAUUCACGAAAUAUUAUAUACUUUU